UGACUCGACGGAGACCUCACGAGCAGUAUCAGAGGCAGAGAUGCUAUUUCACGGCUAGCACAGGGUGUCCUGCCCUUUACCCCUCCCUGUCCUCCACUGGUGCUGUGGCUCAGCAUAAGGGAUGAAGCAUGACCUGGUGACUCCUUCACGCUCCCUGAUAAGCCAUGUGGUGGAGUGCCAGAGGAACUCAGUGAGGGCUCAGGAGUCUCUGCAGAGUUUUUGUGUGCUGGCUAGUAUUUUAUUCAGGAACAGUUUGUCAGUCAUGAGCUGCAGAGAGCUGGAAAUGCUGUCAGUCUGACUGCCAGCAGAGGGACCUGGGAUGCCCAGACGCAGCCAAAGGCAGAGGGAUCUUGAGGGACUGGGCUUUGCUCGCUGUUUUGUUAUACCACGUCCAUCAUCAGCGGGGUUACUGGGUGGAAAGACAGCAUGUCAGUGCGAGAGCUUGUCCUGCCAGCACUGCUGAGCUGUCUAAAUGGAGCUUUUAUGUGCAGAGGACUAAGCGACGUUAGCUGGGGUUUUAUUUUUUUCAGAUCCUUUAUACAGAUUUAGACUCCUUCCUUGAUCUGAAUUGGGUUGUGGUUUGUUUUUUUUUGCACAGUAACCAUCUGGUAUUUAUUGGGAGCUCUCUGCCUUGAGUCUCUGAACUAUUGGUGGAGGCAGUAUGUGAUGGCAACAGGCCAGCCACGUCCCCAUUUCAUCCAGUCUGCAUAUAACACCUUGUGGCCUGUGGUCCCAGUUUCAGCAGUUUCUAUGUAAAGAUAGUUUAAACAGAAGUUUAACUCACACAGAAAAAUACCCCAGUCUGUUGCACCUGCUGCUUUUUGAGAGGCUCGUUGCAAACUGUGGCAUUGGAUUUCAGCGUAGCCACUGCAAAACUAGAGCUGGGGCUGGAUCUAGGCUUCAGUGGCCAGGAGCUGCUGGAUAGGGAAGGAGCAAAUGCUAAUCUGGCCAUCUCCCCUGCAAGGAGAUACCUAAGUAAAGUGAGAGCCUGCAGCCUGGGUGAGGAAACACUGUGAUAGCUGGUGCUUGCCACCUCCCUCUGAUUUACCAUUCACUUUGCAGAGACAAUCAUGGCUUUCUGAUGAGGAUUAUGUCUCCCGCAGUCAGCCACCCUGAGGCUAGAGGAAAAAGAGGAAUUUGUGCAGGCAAGCAGACAUCCCCACGGUACCCAGACUGGUGUACGGACUGUUCCUAGCACGUAGUGUAGCGCAAUAUAACGCAGAGCACCAGAAGCAGAUCUUUUGUUGGCAGGGCAAGGAAACUCUGACACUGUGUCACUCUUCUCAUACAGUUUACGUGAAAAGCACUCACCUUCUGGCUGAAGGGGAUUUGUAAAUACUGCAUAGGACGUGCAGGGGAUAAUAGAGCUGUUGGUGAGCUUGCUCCACAUACAGAUAUUUCAGUGGUUUGACUAGAUCAGCAUUUGAAACACAUCAGCUGGCAGUGAUGUCUGUCCUACAUCACUCCAAUUUUGUAAAAUGAUUUUUUUUUUAAGAAUAAAAAGAUAAUAC
rnacentral:lncRNA from 1 species